GCGGAAGUAGUUCAGUGGUAGAACACCACCUUGCCAAGGUGGGGGUCGCGAGUUCGAACCUCGUUUUCCGCUCCA
rnacentral:tRNA from 1 species